UUAGAUGAGUUAGAACCAGGCUCCUAAUGCUUUUGAUGUGCCGGAGCAAGGCCGAAAGGCCUCAAAACCAUGGAUCUGAUAAUAUCUGAAAGAAAACCAUCAAGGUUAGACCUCGAGAAUUCAAGUACCGGAAUUUUACGAGUGAAGGGAGUUGAGUGCAGGCCAUCCAUGGACUGAGAAGCCAUGGAUUCCGGUAAAAGUGCCGCUGAAAAGGGUAGAGGAUGACAAGGGUUUCAAGGAACCUUCAGGAGAGUUUUGGGAGAGGAGAGUGUUUGAAGGCGAC
rnacentral:lncRNA from 1 species